rnacentral:rRNA from 1 species
GACGAACGCUGGCGGCGUGCCUAAUACAUGCAAGUCGAACGCUGAAGAGAGGAGCUUGCUCUUCUUGGAUGAGUUGCGAACGGGUGAGCAACGCGUAGGUAACCUGCCUUGUAGCGGGGGAUAACUAUUGGAAACGAUAGCUAAUACCGCAUAACAAUGGAUGACACAUGUCAUUUAUUUGAAAGGGGCAAUUGCUCCACUACAAGAUGGACCUGCGUUGUAUUAGCUAGUAGGUGAGGUAAUGGCUCACCUAGGCGACGAUACAUAGCCGACCUGAGAGGGUGAUCGGCCACACUGGGACUGAGACACGGCCCAGACUCCUACGGGAGGCAGCAGUAGGGAAUCUUCGGCAAUGGGGGCAACCCUGACCGAGCAACGCCGCGUGAGUGAAGAAGGUUUUCGGAUCGUAAAGCUCUGUUGUAAGUCAAGAACGGGUGUGAGAGUGGAAAGUUCACACUGUGACGGUAGCUUACCAGAAAGGGACGGCUAACUACGUG